rnacentral:rRNA from 1 species
UCUGUUGGGCAGUUAUGGCAGAGGGAGGUUACAACCUUGAGGCAACAAGUGCACAACUUACAACACAAUAAUAGGCAAUUAUUGGGAGAGGAGCUAUCUGGUUCCACUGUUCGAGAUUUGCAGUUUCUCGUGAACCAAUUGGAGACGAGUUUGCAUUGUGUACGAAAGAGGAAGGAGCAAGUUAUGGCUGAGGAGAUCCACGAACUUAACCAAAAGGGAUUUCUUAUUCAAAAGGAAAAUAUAGAACUUGGCAAGAAGGUGAGAAUUACUCAUGAGCAAAACAUAGAGUUGCAGAAAAAGCUUUCUGGGGCCAUGAGAUCGAGUGAGCAGCAAGCCAGCGGAAGCAGCUCAAAAGCUGCUGCCGGAUUAUUAUUGUGGACUAGAGCAGGUGAACCAAGGAUUUUUAUUGACCUUGAGUUGCGGCAGCAGGAGCAUGAGGAUGAAUAA